rnacentral:rRNA from 1 species
UACGGGGGGGGGUAAGCGUUGUUCGGAAUUACUGGGCGUAAAGGGCUCGUAGGCGGCCAACUAAGUCAGACGUGAAAUCCCUCAGCUUAACUGGGGAACUGCGUCUGAUACUGGAUGGCUUGGAUUCGGGAGAGGAAUGCGGAAUUCCAGGUGUAGCGGUGAAAUGCGUAGAUAUCUGGAGGAACACCGGUGGCGAAGGCGGCAUCCUGGACCAAUUCUGACGCUGAGGAGCGAAAGCCAGGGGAGCAAACGGG